GGGAACUACGAGCUAAGCUUAAAACCCAAAGGACUUGACGGUACCCCAUAUCCCCCUAGAGGAGCCUGUCCUAUAAUCGAUAAUCCACGUUUAACCUCACCAUUUCUAGUUAAUCAGCCUGUAUACCUCCGUCGUCAGCUUACCACGUGAGCGCCAAUUAGUGAGCUUAAUGUCUUUCACCAACACGUCAGGUCAAGGUGCAGCAAAUGAAAUGGGAAGAGAUGGGCUACACUUUCUAUAUUAGAAAAAACGAAAAACUAUUUAUGAAAACUAGUUGGAAGGCGGAUUUAGCAGUAAAAAGGAAUCAGAAUGUCCAUUUUAACCCGGCACUGGGGUGUGUACACACCGCCCGUCACCCUCUUCAAAGCUUCUAACCUAGUUUUUAACAAACUAAGGCAUAACAGAAGAGGCAAGUCGUAACAUGGUAAGUAUACCGGAAGGUGUGCUUGGAAA
rnacentral:rRNA from 1 species